AUGAAUUCAACUCCACACAAUUCAACAAAGGUUAAACUGAACUUCUGCACUGUAAGAGCUAGAAAUCUGAAACAGAGAUGGACUGUUUCCUGUGCAAGGCCGUCUGAUGCAGGAGAGUGACAACUAUGAGCCAAGUGGAGUUCUAGCAGCAAAACAGCAUCAACUAGAUUCCCCAACAUAGUAGACUGACUCCAGCAAACAGAUGAAGAUUAAAAAGGCAUCCAGCAGAAGGUGCUGCCCAGGUUAAUGGUGUGUCCUACCUCAAGAUCUGAAUCAAAGAUUUGUGUCUUCCCAUCUCAAAGGUCCAGAUUAGAAGUGGACUCUCCUCUUCAAACCAAACAAAACCUUUCUCACAGAUUCAUGACGUUAGGUUUGGUUUUGUGGACCAUCUACUUGUGACCACUGGGUUGGAGCCUGGUAAGGUUACAAAUGAGAACUAAAGGCAAC